CCUACGGGAGGCAGCAGUGGGGAAUAUUGCACAAUGGGCGGAAGCCUGAUGCAGCGACGCCGCGUGAGGGAUGACGGCCUUCGGGUUGUAAACCUCUUUCAGUAGGGAAGAAGCGAAAGUGACGGUACCUGCAGAAGAAGCACCGGCUAACUACGUGCCAGCAGCCGCGGUAAUACGUAGGGUGCGAGCGUUAUCCGGAAUUAUUGGGCGUAAAGAGCUCGUAGGCGGUUUGUCGCGUCUGUCGUGAAAGUCCGGGGCUUAACCCCGGAUCUGCGGUGGGUACGGGCAGACUAGAGUGCAGUAGGGGAGACUGGAAUUCCUGGUGUAGCGGUGGAAUGCGCAGAUAUCAGGAGGAACACCGAUGGCGAAGGCAGGUCUCUGGGCUGUAACUGACGCUGAGGAGCGAAAGCAUGGGGAGCGAACAGGAUUAGAUACCCCAGUAGUC
rnacentral:rRNA from 1 species